CCUACGGGGGGCAGCAGUAAGGAAUAUUGGUCAAUGGGCGGGAGCCUGAACCAGCCAUGCCGCGUGCAGGAAGACGGCCUUAUGGGUUGUAAACUGCUUUUAUCGGGGAAUAAAACUUUCUACGUGUAGAGAGCUGAAGGUACCCGAAGAAUAAGCAUCGGCUAACUCCGUGCCAGCAGCCGCGGUAAUACGGAGGAUGCAAGCGUUAUCCGGAUUCAAGGGGUUGCAGGGGUGCUCAGGCGGCUUGGUAGAAAUUCUAGGGCUUAACAUUAGACCUGCCAUUGAUACUGUCAGUCUAGAGGAUAGUUGGAGUGGGCGGAAUGUGUCAUGUAGCGGUGAAAUGCUUAGAUAUGACACAGAACACCGAUCGCGAAGGCAGCUCACUAAGCUAAAACUGACGCUCAUGCACGAAAGCGUGGGGAUCAAACAGGAUUAGAUACCCUAGUAGUC
rnacentral:rRNA from 1 species